UAUGCUUAACACAUGCAAGUCGAACGGCAGCACGAGAGAGCUUGCUCUCUUGGUGGCGAGUGGCGGACGGGUGAGUAACGCGUAAGAAUCUGCCUAGUAGUGGGGGAUAACUCGGGGAAACUCGAGCUAAUACCGCAUACGCCCUACGGGGGAAAGUGGGGGACCUUCGGGCCUCACGCUAUUAGAUGAGCUUGCGUUGGAUUAGCUAGUUGGUGAGGUAAUGGCUCACCAAGGCGACGAUCCAUAGCUGGUCUGAGAGGACGAUCAGCCACACUGGGACUGAGACACGGCCCAGACUCCUACGGGAGGCAGCAGUGGGGAAUAUUGGACAAUGGGCGCAAGCCUGAUCCAGCAAUACCGCGUGUGUGAAGAAGGCCUGCGGGUUGUAAAGCACUUUCAAUUGUGAAGAAAAGCUUGGGGUUAAUAGCCCCGAGUCUUGACGUUAACUUUAGAAGAAGCACCGGCUAACUCUGUGCCAGCAGCCGCGGUAAUACAGAGGGUGCGAGCGUUAAUCGGAAUUACUGGGCGUAAAGCGUGCGUAGGCGGUUUAGUAAGUCAGAUGUGAAAGCCCUGGGCUUAACCUGGGAACUGCAUUUGAAACUGCUGAACUAGAGUGUGGUAGAGGGAAGUGGAAUUCCGGGUGUAGCGGUGAAAUGCGUAGAUAUCCGGAGGAACACCAGUGGCGAAGGCGACUUCCUGGACCAACACUGACGCUGAGGUACGAAAGCGUGGGUAGCAAACAGGAUUAGAUACCCUGGUAGUCCACGCCGUAAACGAUGUCAACUAGUUGUUGGGAGCAUUCUGGCUUUUAGUAACGUAGCUAACGCGAUAAGUUGACCGCCUGGGGAGUACGGCCGCAAGGUUAAAACUCAAAGGAAUUGACGGGGGCCCGCACAAGCGGUGGAGCAUGUGGUUUAAUUCGAUGCAACGCGAAGAACCUUACCAGCCCUUGACAUCCUGCGAAC
rnacentral:rRNA from 1 species